AUAUUUUCUUUUCCCUACCACUAAUCUUUUUCCCUACCACUACUCCUACCUUUCCACCACACUACUCCUUUUCCCCCACCACUACAUUCUUUCUCCCACUCUCACAACUUUUCUCCCACCAUUAUCACACUCCAUAGAAGCCUUUGAAGCCCCAAGAGAAGUAGCAAAGCAAGGGAGAGUGUGGGAAAACUAUAGAGUGAAGGUUGUGCUUCGAGGGUCCGGGCGACAGAAAGUGAAGCCGAAGAAGAAACGACUCCACGCCAGCUUUAAGAACAAUUGAGGUUGAGCAGGCGAUGGAAUGGAUCGGUGUUGAGCGGAUUUCCCUUUUGAUGUUUAUGUAAUGAAACCUUGAGUAUGCAUCUCCAUAUGCAUAACUCACACGUUUUUUCGCUGCAAACACUCUGACUUAUUUAUCAUUUCUACUUGAACUUAUUACUACUUCAUUUUAAUUAACUUUCA